AAACAGAUGCUAAUACCGGAUAACAACAGAUGAUGCCUAUCAACUGUUAAAGAUGGUUCUGCUAUCACUCUUGGAUGGACCUGCGGUGCAUUAGCUAGUUGGUAGGGUAACGGCCUACCAAGGCGAUGAUGCAUAGCCGAGUUUAGAGACUGAUCGGCCACAUUGGGACUGAGACACGGCCCAAACUCCUACGGGAGGCAGCAGAG
rnacentral:rRNA from 1 species